AAGUGAUGAAAUCACCAAGAGCAGGUGGAAUUACCUGCAGAUUGGUAGUGGUGAGCCUACGAUUUUCUGAUG
rnacentral:snoRNA from 1 species